GGUUUGUAGCUCAGUGGUGGAGCGUUUGCCUGACAUGUGUGAGGCCCUGGAUUCAAUCCUCAGCACCA
rnacentral:tRNA from 1 species